CAGCCGCCGCGGUAAUACGUAGGUGGCAAGCGUUGUCCGGAAUUAUUGGGCGUAAAGGGCUCGCAGGCGGCUUCUUAAGUCUGAUGUGAAAGCCCCCGGCUCAACCGGGGAGGGUCGUUGGAUACUGGGAAACUUGAGUGCAGAAGAGGAGAGUGGAAUUCCACGUGUAGCGGUGAAAUGCGUAGAGAUGUGGAGGAACACCAGUGGCGAAGGCGACUCUCUGGUCUGUAACUGAUGCUGAGGAGCGAAAGCGUGGGGAGCGAACAGGAUUAGAGACCCCAGUAGUCCCUGUCUCUUAUAC
rnacentral:rRNA from 1 species